CGCUGGCGGCGUGCUUAGCACAUGCAAGUCGAACGGAAAGGCCCUGCUUUUGUGGGGUGCUCGAGUGGCGAACGGGUGAGUAACACGUGAGUAACCUGCCCUUGACUUUGGGAUAACUUCAGGAAACUGGGGCUAAUACCGGAUAGGAGCUCCUGCUGCAUGGUGGGGGUUGGAAAGUUUCGGCGGUUGGGGAUGGACUCGCGGCUUAUCAGCUUGUUGGUGGGGUAGUGGCUUACCAAGGCUUUGACGGGUAGCCGGCCUGAGAGGGUGACCGGCCACAUUGGGACUGAGAUACGGCCCAGACUCCUACGGGAGGCAGCAGUGGGGAAUAUUGCACAAUGGGCGGAAGCCUGAUGCAGCAACGCCGCGUGCGGGAUGACGGCCUUCGGGUUGUAAACCGCUUUCGCCUGUGACGAAGCGUGAGUGACGGUAAUGGGUAAAGAAGCACCGGCUAACUACGUGCCAGCAGCCGCGGUGAUACGUAGGGUGCGAGCGUUGUCCGGAUUUAUUGGGCGUAAAGGGCUCGUAGGUGGUUGAUCGCGUCGGAAGUGUAAUCUUGGGGCUUAACCCUGAGCGUGCUUUCGAUACGGGUUGACUUGAGGAAGGUAGGGGAGAAUGGAAUUCCUGGUGGAGCGGUGGAAUGCGCAGAUAUCAGGAGGAACACCAGUGGCGAAGGCGGUUCUCUGGGCCUUUCCUGACGCUGAGGAGCGAAAGCGUGGGGAGCGAACAGGCUUAGAUACCCUGGUAGUCCACGCUGUAAACGGUGGGUACUAGGUGUGGGGUCCAUUCCACGGGUUCCGUGCCGUAGCUAACGCUUUAAGUACCCCGCCUGGGGAGUACGGCCGCAAGGCUAAAACUCAAAGGAAUUGACGGGGCCCCGCACAAGCGGCGGAGCAUGCGGAUUAAUUCGAUGCAACGCGUAGAACCUUACCUGGGUUUGACAUGGAUCGGGAGUGCUCAGAGAUGGGUGUGCCUCUUUUGGGGUCGGUUCACAGGUGGUGCAUGGCUGUCGUCAGCUCGUGUCGUGAGAUGUUGGGUUAAGUCCCGCAACGAGCGCAACCCUUGUUCACUGUUGCCAGCACGUUAUGGUGGGGACUCAGUGGAGACCGCCGGGGUCAACUCGGAGGAAGGUGGGGAUGACGUCAAGUCAUCAUGCCCCUUAUGUCCAGGGCUUCACGCAUGCUACAAUGGCUGGUACAGAGAGUGGCGAGCCUGUGAGGGUGAGCGAAUCUCGGAAAGCCGGUCUCAGUUCGGAUUGGGGUCUGCAACUCGACCUCAUGAAGUCGGAGUCGCUAGUAAUCGCAGAUCAGCAACGCUGCGGUGAAUACGUUCCCGGGGCUUGUACACACCGCCCGUCAAGUCAUGAAAGUUGGUAACACCCGAAGCCGGUGGCCUAACCGUUGUGGGGGAGCCGUCGAAGGUGGGACUGGUGAUAA
rnacentral:rRNA from 1 species